rnacentral:rRNA from 1 species
UCAGGAUGAACGCUGGCGGUAUGCGUAACACAUGCAAGUCGAACGAAGUUUUUCGGAACUUAGUGGCGGACGGGUGAGUAACGCGUGAGAAUCUGCCUUAAGGAUUGGGACAACAGUGGGAAACCGCUGCUAAUACCAAAUAUGCCUUUUAGUGAAACGGGUAAAACCGCCUUAAGAUGAGCUCGCGUCUGAUUAGCUAGUAGGUGUGGUAAGAGCGCACCUAGGCGACGAUCAGUAGCUGGUCUGAGAGGACGACCAGCCACACUGGGACUGAGACACGGCCCAGACUCCUACGGGAGGCAGCAGUGAGGAAUUUUCCGCAAUGGGCGAAAGCCUGACGGAGCAAUACCGCGUGAGGGAGGAAGGUUCUUGGAUUGUAAACCUCUUUUCUCAGAGAAGAAUAAUGACGGUAUCUGAGGAAUAAGCAUCGGCUAACUCCGUGCCAGCAGCCGCGGUAAUACGGAGGAUGCAAGCGUUAUCCGGAAUGAUUGGGCGUAAAGGGUCUGUAGGUGGUUGUUCAAGUCUGCUGUUAAAGCGUCUGGCUUAACCAGAUAAAGGCGGUGGAAACUGAACGACUAGAGUGCGGUAGGGGUAGAGGGAAUU